GGUGGACUAGGUCUUCCUGGAGCCUUGGCUGGCGACAUUAUUGGAACCCACGUUCCACUUGCACCACGUGACCUUCCCUUUUCAAACCUUGACGUGGUCAGAGGCUGAUGGUCAGUCAUGUGGCGUUGCUGCCACCGUGUGGUGAAGAGACGGAAUCAGGUAGAAUCAAUGUUGCAGCCAAGACCGUCUAAACCAAGACCAAGACAUUGCAGAGACCGGAGGGUAUCAAGACCAAGACCCACUAAGGUGAGACCAAGGCCAAGACUGAAAAUCAACAUCACAAUACUCAGAUCAAAAGUAGAGAAAAAAGGCGUUGCUGUAAAGUGUCAUUCAUGUUAUCUUUUCAAUUGUAUUGUCCAUAUGCCCAUAUGUCUCUUAUUUAAACCUUGCCAAGGGAAAGAGUUGGAAUGUGCCAGAAAGAUGUUGAAAUGAAGUAUCUUAUACCAGGGACAGAGGCUAUGAAUAUGGCUAUGAAGCGAUCCCUUGCUUUGAAUUGAAGGCAGUGGACAUUUGGCUCUCAAAUGUUCAGUGACGCUCUCAAAUACAUUUUCUUCUAGCAAAUUCAUCAAAUUAACAUUAGUAAGACAGUG
rnacentral:lncRNA from 1 species